CUGAAGAGGCCAGAAGAGGGCAUCCGGUCCCCUGCAACCCAUGUUAAAUAUAGUUGUGAAGGGUUGAGAACCGAACCUGGCUUCUGUACAAGCACAAGUGCAGCUGACUGCUGAGCCAGCCCUCCAGCCUCUCCGGGGCCUGGUUUGUGUUGAGCCAGGUCUUCCAUACAGUCCAGGCUGGCCUGGAACUCACGUUAUUUUUGAGACGGGGGCCCCAUGAAGCCCAGGCUAGCCUCAAACUUGCAGCAUAGCAGAGGAUGACCUUGGACUUCCGUUCCUCCGCCCCACUUCCUGAGGCCAGAACUGACACCAGGACAGCCCAGCAGUCAAUUGUCUUUGUGCGCUGACCUACGGUGGACACGAAGCCCAGAAGCAGCACAGCCCCCAUGUGCCCUAACCUUCGGCUGUUCUGUCCCCACGCAGCCGUCUAGACCGCUGGCCAGAACCUGGCUGUACGUCCUGCCCUUCACGUCCUCUGUUCAAGAGCCAGACAUCUUGUAGUCUUGUGGAUUCUGCAUGAAGGUGGUCACAUGUCCCACCAUCGUCCAUGAAGCUCUCCCGCCCUCCUGAACCGUGGUGGCACACACAGCAGACCACUGCCUACGGCGGCGGGUGAUCAGACUUUCCUGGCGUGCUACUCUUGAAUGGCGGGCAGAGACGGCCCACUGGGAAGGACGGCACAGCAGCGCUCAUCUGAGAACCGGCUUCUCGGAGGCGGAGAAAAGCGUCUAGAAAAGUGUCUGAGGCUGCGACAGGGGACCUUUCCACAGUUCCUUUCAUUUGUUGUGUAAUACUCACGUAUGCAUGUGUACUUGUACACACAUGGACCACGGCACAUAUGCAGAUGUCAGAAGACAAUUUGUAGAACUCAAUUCUCUUCCUUCAUCGGGUGGCUGGGGAUUAAACUCAGGGCAUCAGGCUCGGCAUCCCACUGGCCUGGAGACCCACCCUCUCCAAAGUCCAAAAGACAUGACGAGUUCCAAAUAAGGCAUUUACAUAGCUGAGGUCCCCUAAUUUGGGGAACUGGCAAAGCACCUAGUAGAAUUUUAGUUUAGAAGAAGCUCUAAAAAUGUUUUUAAUUUGUAUAAAGUGCAGGAAAAAAAAAAGAGAGAGAGAACUAGACAAAGGACUCCAGUGCAGGCGAUGCCCGGAAGGUACGUGUGUGAAGACAGGCAGCGGGGCGGGGCUGCCAUGGGAGGUGAGGCUCCAGGGAGAAACUUGUUUCCUCAAAACUUACUUUGUGUUUCUCCCCAAACUGCACAGUUGAUGGUAACCUUCUCCUACCUCCCUCAGCUGCAGCUCAACUCGAAGGGCUGCGGCUGCCGCUUCCUACCGCUGCCCCACUGAGACAAGGCAGGGGUUAGGUCACUUCAGGAGGCUCUCACAGGCUCCCAUUGUUGCUUCUCAGGGACCCAGAGAGACAAUGGGGCCCAUUCAUGGUGCCCUCAGAACAGCCUGGGAACAGCCCUCAGUGCCCAUUCAACUGAGUUAGGACACUCAACUUUCAUAGACACCAAUUUGCACAAAUACAAGUUAAUUAUUAUA